GAUGAAGAACGUAGCAAAAUGCGAUAAGUAAUGUGAAUUGCAGAAUUCAGUGAAUCAUCGAAUCUUUGAACGCACAUUGCGCCCGCUGGUAUUCCGGCGGGCAUGCCUGUUCGAGCGUCAUUUCAACCCUCAAGCCCCCGGGUUUGGUGUUGGGGAUCGGCUCUGCCCUUCUGGGCGGUGCCGCCACCGAAAUACAUUGGCGGUCUCGCUGCAGCCUCCAUUGCGUAGUAGCUAACACCUCGCAACUGGAACGCGGCGCGGCCAUGCCGUAAAACCCCAACUUCUGAAUGUUGACCUCGGAUCAGGUAGGAAUACCCGCUGAACUUAAGCAUAUCAAUAAGCGGAGGA
rnacentral:misc_RNA from 1 species